AAAAAAAAAUAGCCCAGCCACCCCGCAGUCCCGCACGACCUUUGCCUCCUCGAUCCCACCUCGACAUCCAUCUCGCCGCCACCUCCUGCUCCGCCCCGCCGUGCGCCGCCCGCCGCCACCGUGCCUGCGCCGCCGUCCCCCGUAUCGACUCCGCUGUCCGAAUCCCGCCGCCGCCGCGCCUGCGCCGCCGUCCCCAGUAUCCACGCCGGCCUCCAAGAAGCACCGGACGUCGUCCCCCUUCUUCCCCUUCUCCACGCCCAGCCCCGGCCCGGCGCACCACCUCUUCUCCUCCUCCUCCGUGGCCUCCCCCAGGGCCUCCUCCAAGUCCCCCGCCCCGGCGGGCCCCAAGUCCCCGGCGCCCGCCACCCCGGCCAGGCGCCUCCUGCGCCUGCCCUUCCCGCCGCCCUCGCCCGCCAAGCACAUCCGCCAGGCGCUCGCUAGGAGGCACGUCUCGCCGCGCCCGGCGAUCCCCGAGGAGGACGGCGACGGCGGAAGGGGCCUCGACAAGGGCUUCGGCUUCAACAAGGGCUUCGCCGCCAAGUACGACCUCGGGGACGAGGUCGGGAGGGGCCACUUCGGCUACACCUGCGCCGCCAAGAUCAGGAAGGGGGCGCGCAAGGGGGACGCCGUCGCCGUCAAGCUCAUCCCCAAGGCCAAGGUUUGAAGGCGCCUGACAAGCCCAUCGUCGCGCCGCCGACCUGCUGAAAUUCGAGGUCGGCACCCGUGCGAACUCAGGUAACCUUGGUCGUGCUUGACAGGUAUUGUUACAUCAUCUCAGUUUCUUCAUUUUAUCAAAAAAAAUCUCAGUUUCUUCAGAUUGACAUGGUCAGCCAUGUACUAAAAAUGUGAUGCUGUUUCUGUAGUUAGACUUUUAAAUAGCAAGUGGGGUAUGUGUGUGUUGCAUCUGAUGUGCGCGAGCUCAACCUGGUGAGCUCCUGGGAGAAGAAAAAAGGAGCCACAACAGCCCUGGCGAGCUCGAGAUGACGACGGUGCCACAGGUGGUGUGGGAGAGGAGAUGGUCUCCAUCCAAGGUCCGAGGACCAGCCAUGACGUCGAGCUGCUGCAGCUUGGAGUUAGGAGGGUAUUCGCACCCCGGCGUGUCCCGAAAUGUACAAAGGACUGACAUGUGUCAUCUAUAGCAUGCCCCCUUUGUCUGAAUGUUCAAGUAGAAGAGUUUCAUCUCAUUUGGCAAGGAGCACUGCAAUAAUACAUGCAACUCUUCACAGCUACUAACAUGAAGUUGCACUCAGGCUCUCGCAUGGACUAAAGAGUUAUUGUCGUUGUCCUGUGACAUGGAUCACUUGUUCCUCGAACUUCCCUGGCUGAAGGAGAAACUGGAGAAGUACAUUGACGAGGCCUCGGCGACUGGAUCAUGGAGCCCAAACGUGCUUCGCACCACCACAGAUGCUUGAUUGAAAGAAGGGUUGGAGCCUCGCUGCAUCACCAGGGAUUUGAAAUGGGACGUCCCUGUCCCACACGAGAAGUACAAGGAUAAGGUUUGCCAUCUGAGCACAUAGAGAUUCAUUGUGAAAAUUUAUCUCUCUCCAUGUUGUAUUAAUGUUUGUCCAUGUGAUGAACCGUUCCCAAUUAGCUUGGCCAUAUGCAUUAGUCAUGAUUUGCUACUGAUUCUUUUUGGUUCAUUAUGUAUCUUUGACUAUCCAACUCCAUGGACAUGUUUUUAUUUUCCUGUUCUGUCUUGAGAGCACACAUGUGGAGUUGUGCAGGGCAUGUUGAGCUGUACAGGGAGUAUAUAUCUAUUGAGUUCUGCGGUUAUUUUCAAUUUCGAUGGUGGAAACGAUUUAAGGAUAAGUUGGCGGAAUGCCUCGAAGAUGUUUUAUAAGCUUUAAAAAUAGUGGAUGGUCCGAGGAUCCUGUGGCAUGCUCUGAUUUGUUUCAGAGUUCGGAUGUUUCGAUGAUGUGCAUCGUGUGCUUCCGAGGCAGCAGAAGGUUGUACACAUAUCAACGUCUAUGGGUGAAGAUAUCCUACCAUAUCUAGAACCUGUUUGAUAUGCAGAUUAGUCAAGCUUUUGCAGAGCAGUCCUCAUAAGCUGCAAGAUACAUGCAUGUCUGCAAUUCUGGUUUUGUAGCAGCUGCUAUAGAACAGGAUUUUAUCCCAUAUCCAGAGAAGGUUCUUGAAAUGAGGAAAGGCUUUAUUGUGCUUGGCAAGGAUGAUGAUUUUUGUGCAUGAGCUAGGACUAGCAACAGCAGUUGGCAGAACCAGGAUGGAAGUCAUAUUGCCUCCUUUUAUUGAAGCUGCUAUUUCAGGUUUUGGGUUGGAUUAUAGCGAGCUAAUGUAGUACGUUCAUAUAUUGGUCACUUGUGGAUUGCAGAUUUAAGAAUAUGAAUUCUAUUGAGAUUGAGGCAGCCUAAUAAGUGGAAGAAAAUAUUAGAAAUUGCAUGGCAGCCAGAGUGAGGUAUGUUUUUCAUGUCCAACUUUCAAUUUAGUAUGUUCUCAUUUUGAUUGUAGUUGGUAAUUGUACGGCCAUAUAGUCAUAUCUCUACUAUUAAAGGGGAUUAGGUAUGCCGUUUCGUUCGUUCAUAUCGUUACCUCAUCAUUCAUUUUGUUCGUUACCCUCCUCCCUAACUGCUUGAUUUACCUCGAAGACUCCUCCUCCUAACGAUUCUUUCCCAGUUUUCAACCCUUUUUUGCUAGCUGACAGAAAGAGUCACUCCACAGUCCACAUGAAUCCUCUCUUCCUCGAUCUCUCUCUGAGUCUCAGCCCUGUCUCUUCUAGGGUUCUCACACCGCCGACUCUGUCCGCCUCAUGCGGACCUACCGAAUGGCAAGGUGAAGCGAGAGCUCGGCUCUCAAGAGGCAGCCGGAGGAGAUGGUGGUGCCAUGGUCGCGGCGAGGGUGGCGUACAGUCCCAUAGUUGAGCUUGCCAUGAGAUUCGACAAGUGCGUGCUUCACUGCCCCCUCUGCACCCCCCCUCCUAACUUCCUUAUUCCACACUCGGUUGGUGCCGUGAAGAUCGACUUGUACGGCGGGUGCCACGAUGUGAUUAGCCUGUCCUACCAGACCCUCCUAUGCGUGCUCGCUCACCAUGCGGCUGGUCAAGUAGUGCCGUGCGCUGAGCGCUCCCCGUCCCAGGGGCCCUGACUCCCGACGCAUCCAACCGCAUAAGGCGCUUGUGCCCGCUGCCCCUUUCCUCCAUGUCCGUGAGGAGAAUCCCUACAGUAUGCAUGUAUUUUGUUAAUCCCCUCUUAUAUUAUUUUAAUUUCAGCAAGACAACCACAUAUGAGACAGGAACUGUAGCGUCCAUUGUCUUCUAUAUCUGCUUGCAUUAACUUUCCAUUACUAUUAGCCUGUGGGAUAUAUGAUGCGAGGGAACGAACAUGCCAUAAGGCACAGGUGAGUCCCCUGGGUGCUCUUUGCAUUACUAUUCUUCUUAUUCGGCUGAUUUUGAUCUUCUUAAUCCUUUUCUCAUUAAUACCGUUUGUAGUUUGUGAGAUCUUUCUCUGACCACAUGCAAGCCUAUGCUCCACCAUCCCAUUCUUUGUUAUUUUAUUUCCAACUUUAAGACAAUUUUAUCUUUCAAACCAAAAGUACAAUUUAUGAUCCGUUUGCAUAUUGUGAUUAUGACGAGGAGAACUUCAAAACAAUACCACUUUUGAAUGUGUUUCAGCAUGUUCUAAAAAAAUCAAAUUCUAAAGCAGAAUGAAACACUAUUAAAAGUUCAAAGUUUUGUUUGAAUAUCUCAUUAUUGAAUUGUUGCAUCAAAUUAUUAAAUUUAUAUGAAACAAGUUUGAAGCAUAUAUGAGUUUAUAUGAUAUAUGUUUUAUUAAUCUAUGUACACAAAGCCAAUGUUUUUAACAAAAAGAAAGAUUAUGCUUAUACUUCAUUAUGCAUCCUGUACAUAUAUAAUGGUAUAGAUAAUUCCAUUGCGUGUGAAUGAACGGCGCAUUGAGAAUGGCGCCAGAACAAAACCAUGGAAGUAAACUCCUUUUGCUUAUAUCACAAAUUUUGUGCCAUGGUGCAAAAAGAGAGCAAGUGCAUAUGUAUGUUCAGAUAUGAUGAAACCAAAUAAGGUUGCAACUAACAUGUUAUAUUGACUUUCAGUUAUGAACCUUAUGACUCUGAUGCUCUCAAGUUUGGCAACUGUUUGUACUAAGGGCCUGUUCGGCAAUGCUCCGGCUCUCAACUUCCAUUAACUCCGCAGUGAAGUUCAGGCGAACGAGCAAAUUCCGUGGAGCUCAAAUCAAGAAGCUUGCUAUUCUGUUAGUGCAAAUUUGAAGGAGUUGGGGAAGCUGCCUUUUCCCGGCUCUAUGAAAACGAAGAAGCUGGAGUUGAGCGUUAUUAUGAUUUGCUGCCAUCGCCAAGUGAGCUAUGCGUACCGAUUCGCUUUGUCUCUCCCCCCAACAGCUCAUAUCUCCUCUCCGUAGUGGUCGUUGUACAUUUUUUAAUUAGAAGAAAGGUGCCAUUGUAUGCCUACUGAGCUGGGCUUUGCUCCCUUCCCUCCCAAACGGGCUUCAGCCCAUCUAAAUGGGUUGUCAACCCAUGCCAGCGAUGAGAAGCAUGAGGUGCGCAGCCGAACGUUUUCCCAUCACUGUGAGAAACUAGAAAACCGAAGUGAGGAGUAGAAGUUGAGGAGUUUGGGAAGCUAGGCUGUUGCCGAACAGGCCCUAAAGAUAGGUUAAGUGUCUGAAGCUAUACUGGAAGAUGUAAUUAUUUCUCUCAGUUCGUAGUGCUUGACUAGAUGGCGUCUUCGUACGUAUAGCUUGAAUAGAUAUAACCAUGGACGUUUAAUUAUAAUAUGCAACGCUAGAUAUAUUUCUUUGUCUUGUCCUCCCUUAAUUUGUUGGUCCAGUGUAGAUUAGUAGUAUUCUAUCACAUGGAAAUAUAUGCACGUCUAUUAUUAUUAUGUUCUUGUGACAAUCACAGAACCUUUACUGGAAUGCAUCAUUUAUGUGAACAUUAUAAUGCUUAUUUGUAAUGAUGAUCUAAUUCCGCAUGAUGAUCACAAAAAGGUAGCAGCUGGCAUCAUAGCCAUUUAUGUUGCUUCUAAUCAAGACAAAUCCUACAUUCAAACCAUCUCGAUGUUCUUCGCCAGCAUCGUCACAUCGAGCCUAUGUAUAUACUAUUGGAUCAAGACAAAUCCUACAUUCAAACCAUCUCGAUGUUCUUCGCCAGCAUCAUCACAUCGAGCCUAUGAUGGGUAUGAGUUGAGGAAGCGGUUUUUAUUAUACUUGCUAAAACAUCGUGGGAAUGAAGCUAAAGGCAACUUUCUUGAUAUUUAUGAAAGAAUUUCUUAAGCGCAUCAUCUAGAUAUUAAUAGUUUUGUAAUAGAUGUUUAGUUGGAACAUCGCUCAGUUUGUUACAUGGACAUGUUGUUAAUCUUUCUUUUUGUUAUCAAUUUACAUUGCAAAAAUGGACUUUAAUUAUUUAAUAAUUGUGUUUGUGUUA